rnacentral:rRNA from 1 species
AGCGAACGCUGGCGGCAGGCUUAACACAUGCAAGUCGAGCGGGCACUUUCGGGUGUCAGCGGCGGACGGGUGAGUAACGCGUGGGAACGUGCCCCCUGGUUCGGAAUAACUCAGGGAAACUUGAGCUAAUACCGGAUACGCCCUUUUGGGGAAAGGCUUGCUGCCGGAGGAUCGGCCCGCGUCUGAUUAGCUAGUUGGUGAGGUAACGGCUCACCAAGGCGACGAUCAGUAGCUGGUCUGAGAGGAUGAUCAGCCACACUGGGACUGAGACACGGCCCAGACUCCUACGGGAGGCAGCAGUGGGGAAUAUUGGACAAUGGGCGCAAGCCUGAUCCAGCCAUGCCGCGUGAGUGAUCAAGGCCUUAGGGUUGUAAAGCUCUUUUAUCCGGGACGAUAAUGACGGUACCGGAGGAAUAAGCCCCGGCUAACUUCGUG